AUGGAAGAAGAAAUUGAUGAAACUGUGAGCUCAUUGGAUGAGAAAGAUGAGGAGAAGAGCGAAGAACAAAAGGAGGAAGAGCGGAUUGAUCACCCGUGCCCACCUUCUAAUGAGAGUAACUCUUCAACUCAUACAUUGUUUAAUUUCCCUUCGUGCUUACCGAAGGAUGAAUGCUAUGAUCCCGUCGAUUCUUUUGAAAUAUCCCUUUUUGAUGAUGCUUGCUAUGCUUGUGGCCAAGAUGCCAAUAUGAAUUAUGCUUAUGGAGAUGAACUUGCUAUAGUUCCUUAUGUUAAACAUGAAAUUGUUGCUAUUGCACCCACGCAUGAUAGUCCUAUUAUCUUUUUGAAUUCUCCCGAUUAUACAAUAUCGGAGAAGUUUGCACUUAUUAAGGAUUAUAUUGAUGGGUUGCCUUUUACCGUUGCACAUGAUGAUUUUGAUGAAUAUAAUAUGCAUGUGCUUGCUGCUCCUACUUGCAAUUAUUAUGAGAGAGGAACUAUAUCUCCACCUCUCUAUGUUUCCAACACGAACAAAUUGCAACAAACUGUUUAUACUAUGCAUUGGCCUUUACUAUGUGUGCAUGAAUUGUUCUUUUAUGACAUGCCGAUGCAUAGGAAGAGAGUUAGACUUCAUCAUUGCUUGAUAUAUGUUGCUUUGUUCUCACUACUAAAUUACAAAUCAUUGUUAAUUAAAAUUGGCUUUGAUAUACCUUGGGACCCGGGUGGAUUCACUACUUGA
rnacentral:rRNA from 1 species